GCGCUGCCGUGUUGACAGCGGCGGCCGCGCCGGGAGCUGCCCCGGGAAGCGGGGUUGGUGGCGCCGGUUCUCCCGCUCCCCGCUCCGCUAUGGCCUUCAUGGAGAAGCCGCCGGCCGGCAAGGUGCUGCUGGACGACACGGUGCCGCUGACAGCGCAGAUCGAGGCGAGCCAGAGCCUGCACUCGCACACGGAAUACAUAAUCCGUGUUCAGAGAGGAGUUUCAGCAGAAAACAGUUGGCAGAUUGUGAGGCGAUACAGUGACUUUGACUUGCUUAAUAACAGCUUACAGAUCUCAACUCUAAGUCUACCUCUUCCUCCAAAAAAAUUGAUUGGAAAUAUGGAGCGUGAAUUCAUUGCUGAAAGACAGAAGGGACUCCAGGCCUAUCUCGACGUAAUUACUACCCAUCACAUACUGUCCAACUGUGAACUGGUGAAGAAAUUCUUGGACCCAAACAGCUAUUCUGUAAACUACACUGAAAUUGCCUUACAGCACGUUUCAAUGUUCUUCCGAUCAGAGCCAAAGUGGGAAGUGGUAGAACCAUUAAAAGAUAUAGGCUGGCGAAUACGUAAGAAAUAUUUCUUAAUGAAGAUAAAGAAUCAACCAAAGGAACGGCUAGUGUUAAGCUGGGCUGAUCUUGGCCCUGAUAAGUACUUGUCUGACAAAGACUUACAGUAUGCUGUGAAACUUCUUUCUUCCUGUUCUCAUCCCUAUAUUUACAAAAUCACUUUUGCCACUGCCAGUGAAUCUUCAGCACUGGUUAUUAGACCAUUCAGUGAAAAAGGGACACUCAAGGACCUUAUUUAUAAGGCAAAGCCAAAAGACCCAUUCCUGAAGAAGUAUUGCAAUCCUAAAAAAAUUCAAGGUCUUGAGCUUCAGCAAAUAAAAACGUAUGGAAGGCAAAUAUUAGAGGUAUUAAAAUUCUUACAUGAGAAAGGAUUUCCUUACGGCCAUCUUCACUCUGCCAAUGUGAUGUUGGAUGGGGAUACCUGCAAGUUACUGGAUCUAGAAAAUUCCUUGUUGGGACUUCCAUCAUUUUAUCGAUCAUACUUUUCACAGUUUCGGAAAAUUAAUACUUUAGAAGGUGUUGACGUACAUUGCUUCGGACACUUACUGUAUGAAAUGACGUACGGAAGACCCCCAGACACGAUUCCAGUAGAGAGCUUCCCCCCUGCACCCUCAGUGUUUGUUGUGUCAGUGUUGGAAUCCAUUCUGACCUGUGAAGCUAUGAAGAAUGGCAUGCCAACUGUCUCACGGCUCUUACAGAUGCCAUUAUUCAGUGACGUCCUGCUAACAAACUCUGAGAAACCACAGUUUAAGAUUCCUACCAAGCUAAAAGAGGCGUUGAAAAUCUCCAAGGAAUGCAUAGAAAAGCGGUUAACAGAAGAACAGAAAUUGAUUCACCAGCACAGAAGGCUGACAAGAGCUCAAUCUCAUCAUGGCUCUGAAGAAGAAAAAAAGAAAAGGAAGAUCUUAGCACGAAAAAAGUCAAAACGUUCUGCCUAUGAAAGUGGGGAAGAACACUCAGCAAAAUACAGCAACUCAAAUAACUCAGCAGGCUCUGGGACAAGUUCCCCGUUAACAUCUCCAUCAUCCCCCACUCCGCCCUCUACAGCAGGUAAGUUCAAGAGUCACUAUUUUAUGGUUUUGUGUUUUUUUUAUUGCCCUCUGCUCCUCAGUGGUGAGUGUUUUUUCCAGGGAUGACUAAGGGAUGGUGGUUUUCAAGGAUGGAACACAGAGAUGACAGUUAUCUUGUGUCAGCCUGUGUGGGCACGUGCUCUCGUUUGAGGGCCAUAGAGAACCUUUUGAUAGUUUUCUUUUUCAUUUAAUAACCUUUCCUGAGAUAUACAUGAUAUGAUUUAUCCACAGAGUGUAAGUGCUUGCUUCAAAGUCUUUUUUACUUCAGACCUACUGACAAUGCUACUUUCCAGACAUCUUUUGGGCCUCAUGUUGCAGUAUGUAUUUGUUCUGGUGUUAAUGGUCUGUUAAUUUUGAAAUACUGCUUGUUCAUCCCUUGUGUAUUGUCUCUUUACUCCUGUACUGCUGUGAUGUAUUUUCAGAAAUUUUGGGUGUGACAAAUUCAGUGGUUUAGGCUGUGGAAAAUCUCCCCAGUUCUGCUACAACCCAUUGAUAACCCACUAGAGCUGGUAGAAACAAGACAGAGACUGAUUUGGGUUAGAAAUAAUAUCUUUAUUAUUUUUGACCAGUUCUGUUUUUCAGUUUUCAGGGUAGCUGUGCAGACAUUUGCUAAUGUUUAGGACAGGUGAUGCGAAGCGGUGAAGAAUCUGCUUGAGUGAGCAAUAAAAAUCCUCUGAAAGUUUGAUUACAAAUCUGAGUAUUGAGCAAUAGUGGAUGUUCUUCAGGCUGAAAGGUUGGAAGAGGAGCACUGGCAAACAUUUCUAGAGGGGAAGCAGUCCAUAGCAUUGCAGUCUGUUAUGGUGACUCAUACCAUAGGAUUUCCAGUCCCAGGAACUUUCUGCACAGCACAACUCAGUAACUAACGUGAUGCAAUCAAAUUUGUGUUUGCUGUGAAUGAUCUUUCGAAGGACACUGCAGUCUGUGUGAUGUAAUUCAAAUCAGUCAUGCUGAAAUUCAAAUUAGUAAUUUCUCCUUCAAGUUGAGGGGUAUGAGAAAUGUGCAUCUUAGGAACUAACUUCUCCCACUUAGCCUAAACAAAAUAAUUACUGUUACUGUGUUGCACAGUAACAGUGCUGCUCUCAGGAUGCACCCACUGUUAGCUGGAGGGUUUGUUGCAAGUUCUGUGUGCUUUAAUAAAGAAGUAGCCGAAAGUGCAAAAGAAAACCUCUUACCUCCAAAAUGGACCGAUGUUUAGCAAACAAUUUUUUUCUUUUUCAGUAAAACUACCUUUUGGUUAUAUUUUAACUUGGACUUGUUGGAACUUGGUUGAAAGCUUUUUCAAGUUUUAAGCAUGUGAUGCAGGUUUAUGUGUUGAUGUGACUCAUGGCUAAAAAAUGGCUCAAGUUUGGGCUCAAAACUUGUCUCUGUUCAAACCAUAUUGUCACAGUGUCUUGUUCACCUUGCUGCCAGUGUGCUCCUGAUGACUUGUGGUGAUCAGCCCCAUCUGACACGGUGCAUGUGGCCCUACCUGCAUUCAUGGGAAAGGGCUUUAGUGAGCUGAUGGCUUGGAUGUUGUUUAUGAGGUGUAAAGGCAAGUGGCACAUUUUCAGGAAUGCUUUUGUGAGUGGAAUUCACAGAAGAAAUUUCAGAUUUAGUUCUAAGAGAGAACUAGUGUGCUGAAUUUUUUCACCAGCAGUGUUGUAGUUUUAGCUGUUCUAAGCAGGUGUGGUAUUACUGGCUCAAUGAAAGACCCACUGGCCCCAUGCUAGGACUUUGUGACAAGUGAUGCCUUUGUAGCUUGUAUCUCUCUCUUCCAGUUUCCGUGUACUUACUAAGGGUAUUUACCUCUAAACCAAAAUUGCUUGUGGGUAUCAGUGUGGUGAGGUGAUUCUCAAAAGGGCACUGAGGCUUUCAGUCUGUCUGUAUGGCUUGGUUGUGGUCGUGUUGGAAUCAGGGCAUCUCAAAGCAUCCUGGUGAUGUGAUGUCAAGGCUCUUGCCAUCAUCUGGUAACCAACCAAACCAGUGUGAUGUGUGGGUAUGUGCAGAGCCAGAGGCACUGACCAAAGGGGAGCGGGCUCCAGACUGACAUGUCCUGGGGAAGGAACCUGUUCAGGGGUUUUCUCACACGUGGAAAGGUGGUUUGUCUCUGAACAAAGGCCUUGUGAGAUGUGGCUUGCACCAGAGUGCUUGGUCGAUGGAAGACAGACUAAGAAAUACAAUGGUGGUUGGCUUUUGCUGUCUUUGUAAUGGCAGCUGCAGCUGUAGGACUGAGUGCACGGCCUGCUUUGAGGGGAAAGGUGUCCACUGGAAACAUCGUCUCCUGUGGGCUGCUGUCAUUGAUGAGAAUGUUUUGGGCUGGUGGUGUUGCAGAUACGUGGCUAAAUAACAUCUUUGAAGGACAUUGGUUAGAUCAUGGCAAGUGAUUCUAAUGCAACAUCCUGUGUUUCUGAUGUUCUCCCUUGAAGUUCUGGUUCUUUUUUUCUCCACAGUUCUUUGCUUCCUUGAAAAUCUGUUUGUUUUCUUUGUGGAUAUGAGUUGUGGAUAGGAUCAGAAGAGAUACAGAACAUUGUGAUAUGGGUUAUUUAAAACUUCGCUGCAUCUUCUCUAAAUCUAAUAAGCCCAUAAAAUACCAGCAUGAUGUUUUACAACAGAGAAAAGUUUGUGGGGUGUUACUUUUGCUUUCCUGGGCUUUCCUGCAGGAACAAAGCGAGAGUUGUACUUAACAAUCUUUGUCUGUGCCAAUUAUUCUAAAUCCUUCAGCACAACAUAUGUUUCAUUGGCACCCAUAUGGUGCAUCUUGCCUGCCCUUCACCUUUCUGUAAGACAAGUUGAAUGCUUUAGGAAGUGCUUUUCCCGAGUGUCUCUGACCCACAGGUGUAAAUACAGGUGUUAAUACAGCAGGAAGUGUUCCUUGAACUGAGUGGAUUUCGUCUCCUAUGGCUAAUCUUCCUGCAGAUUUCUUGCUAAAUUUCUCUAAAUGCACUUUAAUCCUAUAAAGGCUGAAUUAUGGCAUGUGCAGCUGGAAGCAUGUGUGUUGUAUUUUGUUGAUCAAGUAUAAUAAUGCCUAGAGCGGGGAAAAUAGUGCUUCAUUAUUCAGAAUUGGACAAAGUAUUGUAAAUGUGUAUUGAAAUAGUCAAUCCGCUGUCCUCGUAUUUGUCAGUGAAUAAGAAUGUAUUGACUUUUGUACUAACUUUUCAGCUAACAGUAUCUAUUUUUCUUACUUUGACACGAGAACCGGAUGAUUAACUUGUGUCCUCUCUCUUUCUCUACUGUCUUCAAUAGAGCAUGCAUCAUUUUGAACGUGAAUUUUCGGAAAAGUAAGCUAAUGCUGAUUUAUCUCUUUAAAGAUGCUCUGUUUCUGAAUGGGAAAGUUGAAUGCAAAUCUUGAAUUUACUUAGUAUUGGGAGGGAGUAGAAGAAAAAAAUCUGAAUGUUCCUACAUAUUAUUUUAAUGAAAUACAGCAUCUUUAAAACCUCACUAAAAUGAUUUUCUUUGUUCGCAUCCCAUUCUCAGCCAAGUUUUUAAUGCUGUUUGCACAAUUACUGUCACUUUAAAUUCAUAAUUAAGUUUUUGUUUCAAUUCAGGCAUCAAGUUUACAGCAUCUGAUUUACUUCCUAUUCCUUUUAACACACUCUUUUAACAAAAAUGUCCCUGUAAAAACCCUUGGAGCAUCGUCCAUACCCCCAGCACCGCCUCCGCCGCCCCUGCCACCAGCAGCUCCUCCCCUGAGCGC